ACUUUAACUCAACGUCUCACAGCUAGCUAAGCUAGGCUGGUGGAAUCAACUGACUCACUCCCUCUUUGGUUGCCUAGCAACAAAAUGCUGGGUAAGAAGCAGUUUCAUUUGACAAACUAAGCCUUCAGAAAUAAAAAAUAAAAAUAAAAAAAGAAAGCAGCGGAUUGAGGGGGUGUGAGCUUCACACAAGAUGUGCUAAAAACAAAACCUGAUGGUUGCGGACGCCGCAAAGCUGCGGAAGUUGCGCCGGGCGAAGGGAGGUGAUCAGUUUAUCCCAACUGUAAAUAAUUUAAAUAGUUAAAUAGAUAGUCUGACAUGUGCAGUAAAGUGGCUGCUGACACAACGUGACUUCUUACGUGACGACAUAAGGCUGCUGUGCGGGCGGGUUUGAUGCCUAUCACGUGUGGACGGACGUCAUAAAGUCAGGGUCUUUAUUUGCUCGUUCUCUUUCCCUAAACGUCACUUCACACUCGUUCCUUGCAGAGCCGGUUGUUGUAGCAGAAAACCUAAAUCUUAACUUCAAACCUGAGGAAUAAUCAUGCCAAGUAGACAGAGUUUGCCAUCCGUAGAGACCCAGACCGUCACCGUGGAAGC